rnacentral:rRNA from 1 species
UACGAAGGGGGCUAGCGUUGUUCGGAUUAACUGGGCGUAAAGCGCGCGUAGGCGGGUUUUUAAGUCAGGGGUGAAAUCCCAAGGCUCAACCUUGGAACUGCCUUUGAUACUGGAAAUCUUGAGUCCGGGAGAGGUGAGUGGAACUGCGAGUGUAGAGGUGAAAUUCGUAGAUAUUGGGAAGAACACCGGUGGCGAAGGCGGCUCACUGGCUCGCUUCUGACGCUCAGGCGCGACAGCGUGGGGAUCAAACAGG